rnacentral:lncRNA from 1 species
CAGCACUUAAUUUGGAAGACUUCAUUAUCUGGCACUGAAUUUACAUAAUAGUUCAAAUCUGUCCAGCAUAGGAAAUUAAUAUACAUUUACACAUUCAACACUAAUCUGUCAAAAUUAAUCUGUCCACAGUCUUCGACUGUCACAUCAACUCAGAUGUGACGGUGAACCUGCAUAACAAAUGGUGAACCUGAUGGCAUUCAACACCAAAGUGUACACAAGCAGAUAGAACCUACAGCAGCCUUAGCAACUGCCUUGAUGAAAGAUAAGCUAACUAGUAGAAAAUAAGAGAACAAACAAAAACAAAAAGCUGGAAUUACCUUGAUGUGGUCCAACCAUGUGCGAAUCUUCUAAACCACAAGAUUCGUGGUUGAGGUGGGGGACUUCGAAGGUGUUCAAGGCUCAAUUUUGGGUUUGGGAGCUUGAAGUCGUUACACCGUCAACUAAUUUGGGAGAGACGAUUCGAAAUUUGCGAGAUGAAAUCAGGUCUUGGUUUCGCAGAUUUGGGGAAAGGGUUCAUGGCUGGGAGAGAGGAGAAAUCAUGUCUAGGUUUUUGUUUAUGUUUACACGAUUUCAAUCUAAUUUUUGGGUACGGCGUUUUUAAGAGUUGGGUUGGGAUAAUGACAUGGCAUUUAACCGCCACAUGUUAUAUUCCAUCCUCCACGUAAGCAUUGUUN